CACAGGGACUUUGCACUUGCUCUUCCUGCCGCCUAAAACCUUCUUACCCCAGGUAUCUGCAUGGCUCAUUCUCACCUUCCUUGGACUCUGCUCAAAUGUCAUCAGAGAAGCCCUCACAGAUAACACUAAAUGAACCAGAGGUGCUUCAUCCAUCACUUUCUCUCCCCUGACCCAAGGACCAGCUACAUGCUUUGAGGGGCCCAGUGCAAAAUGGAAAUGUGAGAUCCUUGGUUCAAAAAGCAAGGGAAAAAAUAUGUGAUGUUAAAGACCUCCAUAGAGGGACCUUUUCUCCUUGGAACUACCUGAGGUUCAGGUAGGUCCCCCCAGCUGAGCAGAAUACUAAAUAAGGCCGCAAAGAUGAGGAUGAACGCCUGCAGGUUCAGGAUGGUGGGAAAGAUGGCACUGGAACAAACGGUAAAAUCUAGCAAGCAGUUUGCAUCGACUCUGCACGACAACCAAAAUAUGCUGUGUUGUCCAAAUGAAAAUUCUCCAAAAUAAUGACAUCAAAAUCAAACCAAGAUAAAGAGCUGGCAUCAUUAUACUUGACAGGCAUAUACAGUACUUAUGCUGAAAUUGAAAUGAUCAAAACUAACCUCAUGGAAAAAUGCCAGCACCCAAAGGUUGUAAGAAAAGUCAUACAAAUCAAAUUUAUAAAGCAAAUAAAUCAAAUUU
rnacentral:lncRNA from 1 species